rnacentral:lncRNA from 1 species
GAUCUACUGAAAGGUGUGGUUAGGUGGAGCAUGUAAAAGGAAAGGAGAUUAGACGGUGUGUGUGUACACUGUGUAAGAGAGAAAGCGAACCAGAAAAAUAGGCAGAAAGUCAUGGACACAGCAAGCUCUUAAGAGUCAGCCAAAGAAAAAAAUAAGAGAAAGAGUUGAGGAUCGAGGCACAGGAAAAGAAAGAGAGGUUAAAAAGAGAAGGACAGAGAGCAACUCUGUGAGUGACCAAGCUGGACCAUCAUCACAAAGCAUUAGCAGCCAGAGGACGACAGAUAAACACGUGGAGAGAGAUCUUCAGAGCUCUUCAGACUCCAGCACAGAAUUGUCGUUUUUCCGUCCGUCCUUGCAUAGUAAAGCAGAGGAUCUUUGGAACAUGGAUAAACACAAGAAAAUGCUUCCUGUCACAUGUGGGAAUAAAAAGGCCUUAUUGGACAGAAAAGCAUUGUAUAAAAGAAAGAGGGACUGCAUUAAAUGUGGCAGAGAAAUGAUCUCCCCUUAUAUGUUUGAGGAAAUGGGUGGAAAAGAAUCAUGCAAGUCCUGGAAAACAAGUAUAUUAUGCCAAGGCACAACCCUCAAGAGUCUCAUUGAGAUGAAUAUUUUGAAGAUACCCAAACUUAAUGGAAAAUUUACCCUUCGUAAAUUAUAUAAAUGAUAUGUGCAUCACAUUAUUUAGCAUUUUCAAUCAGUCAAUAUACUGAGCUUACGAAUCCACUAAUUUUUCCACUUUUAAUAAAGUCAGUCAAUGAAUGAAAAGUGUUAGUGUGAAAUAAAGCUUC